UCUAGUUGACGUCGUGCUUCCUAACGGUUCCCUCCAGUCUCAGGUAUAAACUCUGCUUCGGCCUCCUCGUCUCUCGCUCUCCUUUUCUGGAUGUGUUGCAGGUCGUUGUUGCUCGUCUUCCUCAUGUUGCUCUUCUUCCUCGUGCUGCUCGUCUUCCUCGUGUUGCUCGUCUUCCUCGUACUGCUCGUCUUCCUCGUGCUGCUCAUUCAGGGGUUCUCCUGAAGCGCCGUCCAUUCUGCGACAGCAGACAUCCCGACUGAGUCGAAUGAUGAGCUGAAUGAAGAGCGUGCAGCGCACAUCCGGACUGCAGGCUCUGUAAAGCAGAUUUCUUCAGGAUUUAAAGGAGCUCUCGACCGUGCUCCAGUCCCGGUUUCCCGGCAGCGCUGCACGGAGCUCACAGCUCGUCUCCAACACAACAAGCAGCAGCAGAACCCUCAACACGUCGGGGAGGAACGCGGCCGGAGGACGCCGAAGUUAACUCGUGGCCCUGUGUGCCGACCGAACACCUCGGCUCUCAAAACAAAGCCGACGGAGCCUGACAAGAUUCAAGAUUCAAGAUUCAAGAUGUUUUAUUUGUCACAUACACACACAGGGUGUGCAGUGAAAUGAAAGUGGCAAUGCUCAGCAGGAAUGUGCAAGGUCAACAAGUACACACUAUUUACGA